rnacentral:snoRNA from 1 species
UCCAGUGAUGGCACAUCUUUGAGACCAAAGUUUUCUUCCUUGAUGAAAAUUAUUAGCAUAAUCCCCUAGGGC